rnacentral:rRNA from 1 species
GUAGGGUGCAAGCGUUAAUCGGAAUUACUGGGCGUAAAGCGCGCGCAGGCGGUUUUGUAAGUCUGUCGUGAAAGCCCCGGGCUUAACCUGGGAAUUGCGAUGGAGACUGCAAGGCUUGAAUCUGGCAGAGGGGGGUAGAAUUCCACGUGUAGCAGUGAAAUGCGUAGAGAUGUGGAGGAACACCGAUGGCGAAGGCAGCCCCCUGGGUCAAGAUUGACGCUCAUGCACGAAAGCGUGGGGGGAGCAAACAGGAUUAGAUACCCUGGUAGUCCACGCCCUAAACGAUGUCUACUAGUUGUCGGGUCUUAAUUGACUUGGUAACGCAGCUAACGCGUGAAGUAGACCGCCCUGGGAGUACGGUCGCAAGAUUAA